UGGGGAAUAUUGGACAAUGGGCGCAAGCCUGAUCCAGCCAUGCCGCGUGAGUGAUGAAGGCCCUAGGGUUGUAAAGCUCUUUCACCGGUGAAGAUAAUGACGGAAACCGGAGAAGAAGCCCCGGCUAACUUCGUGCCAGCAGCCGCGGUAAUACGAAGGGGGCUAGCGUUGUUCGGAUUUACUGGGCGUAAAGCGCACGUAGGCGGACUUUUAAGUCAGGGGUGAAAUCCCGGGGCUCAACCCCGGAACUGCCUUUGAUACUGGAAGUCUUGAGUAUGGUAGAGGUGAGUGGAAUUCCGAGUGUAGAGGUGAAAUUCGUAGAUAUUCGGAGGAACACCAGUGGCGAAGGCGGCUCACUGGACCAUUACUGACGCUGAGGUGCGAAAGCGUGGGGAGCAAACAGG
rnacentral:rRNA from 1 species